UAUGGCCAUAUCACAUUGAAACACCAGUUUUCAUAUGAUCAGUUAAGCAGUCUUGAGCCUGGUCAGUACCUCCAUGGAUUACUGCUUGGGAAUACCAGGUGUUGUAAG